rnacentral:rRNA from 1 species
GACGAACGCUGGCGGCGUGCUUAACACAUGCAAGUCGAACGAAGAGCGACGGAAGCUUGCUUCUAUCAAUCUUAGUGGCGAACGGGUGAGUAACGCGUAAUCAACCUGCCCUUCAGAGGGGGACAACAGUUGGAAACGACUGCUAAUACCGCAUACGAUCUAACCUCGGCAUCGAGGAGAGAUGAAAGGUGGCCUCUACAUGUAAGCUAUCACUGAAGGAGGGGAUUGCGUCUGAUUAGCUAGUUGGAGGGGUAACGGCCCACCAAGGCGAGGAUCAGUAGCCGGUCUGAGAGGAUGAACGGCCACAUUGGGACUGAGACACGGCCCAGACUCCUACGGGAGGCAGCAGUGGGGAAUCUUCCGCAAGGGACGAAAGUCUGACGGAGCAACGCCGCGGGAGUGAUGACGGCCUUCGGGUUGUAAAGCUCGGUUAAUCGGGACGAAAGGCCUUCUUGCGAAUAGUGAGAAGGAUUGACGGUACCGGAAUAGAAAGCCACGGCUAACUACGUG